rnacentral:rRNA from 1 species
CGCGUAGGCGGCAAAUCAAGUCAGCUGUGAAAUCUCUGAGCUUAACUCAGAACGGUCAGCUGAUACUGCUUUGCUAGAGUGCGGAAGGGGCAAUCGGAAUUCUUGGUGUAGCGGUGAAAUGCGUAGAUAUCAAGAGGAACACCUGAGGUGAAGACGGGUUGCUGGGCCGACACUGACGCUGAGUGCGCGAAAGCCAGGGGAGCAAACG